ACAGAUUUUCGAUAAUGAAAAAAUUUUAUAAAGUUUUCAGAAGAAGGAUUCUGUGAGAUUAUUUCGAUACGAUGAUUAUUAUCGAUUGAUCGAAGUUUUAGAAUCGAACGAUUCGAUAGGGGAUCGAAUGGAAGGAUUUGGCGAAGUUUUUUAGUCGCAUUCUUUUCGGGUAAGAAUGAAAGUGGAAGAUGGUGGUGAAGCAAAGUUGGGAUUUGGAGGUGUGCACGAUUGGUGAGGAAUUUUUGGGGAGUGGUUAUAGGUGUGGUGAAUAGGUUUCAGCGGGAAGUGUUGUUUAGGUGAGCAGAAUUUUUAGAUGACAUUAUUCGUCAUAAUUGAUAAAGGUCAUAUUGGAAGUUGACAGGAAUCGUGACAGAUUUUCUACACUUAAUAUCUAUAUAAAUAGAAGAAAUAUAGAACAUAUGUCAAGCUGAUAACGCAAAACAGUUGUUUUCACGGAAUUUACGGAAGCCAAACGAAAUCUUCUACUUAAGAUAAACGAAAAUAAACGAAAAGAUAUACAUGUUUGAAAAUCUACGAACAAAUCUAAAAACACAAGAACUUUCAAAACCAAUCUCUUCUAUACUAAGAUACUCAUUUCUACGAACAGAGGUAUACCGAGUAACAAUUCUACAAAUUCAUAACCUCAAACCGCAUAAAUCCAACAAGAUAGAAACGAAAUAAAACUUUUUUAUAUUUAAUGUCUACGCAAUGUCUAUAAAAAUUUGAAAAUGUGUAUUUAUCUACAAUUCUACAAAUCCAUAAUGUUGAGUUUUGAAAAUUCAAUAACUUAUAUCCUGUAUUUAAAUACAUAAACGGUUGAAUCAUUGAUUAAUGAUUCUUUAAAAAUCCAAUAACCAGCCAAUCUUCAACGAGAAAUCAAAAGUUAAAAAAUCAGAAAAAAACAAAUUACAUACAUUUACGCAAUAACAAUUCUACAAAUCUAUCCUCUUCCAUACUAAAUCAAAAAAUACAUAUAUAUAUAUAAUAUAUACCAAUUACGUUUUGAAGGGCGUUCAUAUGUGCAAUUGCAAUGAAGGAAGAAGUAAACGAGUAGCCAAAGACGACGACGAUGACGACGAAGAGGAGGAGGAAGAAGAAGAAGAAGAUGAAGAAGAUGAAGAAGAAGAAGAAGAAGAAGAAGAAGAAGAAGAAGGCAUGAAAGAAAGGCCCGGGCCUGUUCGGGUGUUCGCAGGCUCGAUCCUCGGUGUCUUGGGACCCACCACGCCAUAGGAUGCCUCCUUCUCCGUCGGUCGGCGGCUCAGCAUCCUUUAAUAUCUCUCGGCGGCCUCCUCUCGUCCAGCGUUUCCUCUUUGUCGCUCGUGUUCCUGUUCAGAACCUCCCCUCCCGCCGGACAGGCCCUCGCGGUCGGCCACUUUCGAUAGCAUCUUGAUGGAAUGCCUGCGGGAUUCUUUCAUUUAUAAUAAAAACAAUUUGAGAAUCAAAUUGAGAAAGUACUAAUAAGUACUAAAAGAAAAUAAGAUUAUAUUGUCAAUUAUAUGGAGGAUUAUAUGGAGGAAGACAAUAAUUGAAAGGAAAUGUAAAAUAUAUUUUGCUGAAAAUAUUUAAACGUUUUAAACUAAGAAUAGAAAUGGGAAGUUUAAAUAAUAAUUUAUUCGUAUACAUUAUUAUUAUUAAUUGCAUCGUAUUCAUCUUUAUCAAACACAAUUAUCGAAAAAAGUACCUUCUUUUUACAAAGUUCCGAUCAUUAAUUAUUUCCAAUCAAUGAUCAAUCUCUUCAACUCUCCAUUAUUGCAUAAUACACAAUAUUUUAAUAAGCCUAAAGCUCGUUACUUGGCGAAUCAAAAUAUUAAUUGCAUCGUUCCCUUUUAUAGGUUGGAAGGCCUCGAUGAUGAAUAAUAGUUACGAAUAAUUAUAAUUCCAAGUGCACGAUUAUCGAUGAUUCAUACGUUUAACACUUUUAUCUUCGAAUCGUCGUUAUGACUAUUACCGAUAAACAUCAAUAUUAAUCAUUAGCAAUAUUAUUAAUUGAUCCAAUUCGGACAACGUUCAUUUUACAUUACGUGAUUUAUUUCAUCGUUCGUCAAAUUCAAAAUCUUUCGUUCAUAAAAUUUUUUGCCGCCAACAAGUGACUCUCCCUUUUUUAACACGAGAAAAGAGUCGACCCACGAUUUUUCCCUACAUCUCGAACAAACGAAAACUAACGACCCAACAUUUAAGGAGUGCAAGUACGCUAUAUAUCGUACGUACACGCAUACAACAGUGAAAAUCUGUCCACGUACACAGGCAUUUGCACAGAAGAGCGUGGCAAACGUGUUUCCUCGCGGGGUCCGUGUGGGUGUACACGUGAUCUGGGCCCUGUGCUCUGACCCCAACCUUUCGAUUUCGUCUCUCUGUCGGCACGGCGUUCACUGUUGCACAGCCGGCCAAAGGGGAUCGGCCUUAAUGGGGGUAGCCGUGGAAUUCCUUCGGCUCGUAACCCGCGAUUUGCCGCUCGCGAGGUGGUUGCGUACGUGCGUGCGAUAUAAGAGAGGAGAACGCGGAUGAACCUCGACCUUUCGUUCCUCUCUUGUUAACCGCUGUGCAACCUCUCUUCCUUUCGCUGUCUCUCUCUUUCUUCACGCAGGAUUGUCGUUUAAUCGUGAUUUCUUUAACAUUUUUAUCGAUCAUCUCCGAUUAAUAAUGUUAUUCAAAGGUGAAAAAGUAUCGGCAUCAGGUCAUCAUUUUUUAAUAAUUAAUUGAACGAUAAAAUUGAUCUUGUAUUUCAGCAUAUAUAUAUAUAUAUAUAUAUUUUUGUGAAAUAUGCGAUGUAGAUUACGCGUUUUUAAGGUUGGAAUGGCUGGGAAUUUGAUCGAAAGCUUCAACACUGUAACAAUUUUCUUGAUAAAUUAAUCCGUAUUAUACGAAUCGACCGUUAUAAAUAAUCGAGCCCGGUCAUUAACUUAACGAAGAUUAACCAUAAACCGAAUAACCGUAUUAAGUUACAGCGAAUUAACCAAAUUACCAUUAACCAUUUACUCGAUUCACUCCAUCAACACGACCCAACCUCGGCCGAUACAUCACCAACCAAAUUGCGCCCAUUCCCGAGCACACCUCAUCUUCGCGCCAAUUUCGAAAAAUUUCCCUCCUCGCCAAAAAACCCUUUCGAGAAACGCGCUUUGCCAAAAAAAAACUACACUUUUGCUUCACCCAAGCGGGACGAGUCUAUCUUUUCCUCUUCUCUUCGCCUCGCCCAUCCCUUUUGGCGUUCGAAUUCCGCGUUUCGCUCGCCCCUGGCCGCCAUUUCUUUUACACGCCAUCAAUAACCGGCAAUUACCCCAUCACGAUUCUGCCCUUGGAACCUCGCCUAAUAAAUUGCCGACCUCGCUUCCCUCCUAUGCCGGUUAAUCGAAGGAAAGCUUCGAUAAUUUCGCGGGAGAUUUAAAUGAAAUUCGAACCGUUAACUGUCCCGGGUUGGAUAUAAACUGGAGCUGGAAGUAAUUCGAAGGUGUAUUGAAUCGAAGGGGGGAAAAAACGGAUUUCGAGACGUGAUCUGUAAAAAGAUAUAAAUAUUAACCGUGAUCACCUUAUAUUUAAUCGAUAAUUACAUUUUAUUAAGAAGAACGAUUUGGCGGGAAAUUUGAAAACGGAUGGUAAUAAGUUUCUACUAGUGAGUAAUAAUAACUUUUUACGCUAAUAAUAGUUAUGGAAAGAGGAUUAAAUUUAACGUAAUGUCAAGCUUUUCGCGAGAUUAACAUAUCCAUCUCGAUUUCACAGCUUUCGUCGGGGAACGGGAGAAACGGAACGGGAUAAAUUACGAUGUCAACCUUUUUUCUUUUCACUUCAUCAUUUCUUCCUUUGUGUUAUUAAAACCGGCGCAAAAUUUUUUCCUAAAUUCCCAGAGGAGUUUUCCUGUUGUAGGUACCGUUAUCGCCAAAUAAGCUAAUACCAUCUACCCAGUUCUGGGUACCUUUCACAGGUACCCACUCAUUCUUUCACGUCCCUGAGGACCUGGGAUGUACUGCAAAGAGAUGGAGGCACGGUUAGAAUAGGUCCUUCACUUCGCUGAAGUUCUACGCACACAACAGCAAACGGUAGAUGAGGCAGAACAUGGGUUCUAUAUCGACUUUGAUCUACCCAGUCAGGUAGAAAUCUCACUCAGUUCAGGUUAACCGAUCUCACCUUCGGGUUCAUCCACCUUAUAUUUAAUUUCGCCCAUUUUCACGUGUAACGAAAAUCGAUAAAAAGGAAAAAGGAUCAAUAUUCAGGGUUCAUUAUUCAAAGAAUUUUUCAAUCUCUUUCGAAAGAUUCGAAGGACGAUCGUGUAUGUUCAAUUCGUAUCGUGGAUUUCUGUCGUAUAAUGAUAGAGUUGAGACUUUUUUUUUUUUUUUUUUUUUUUUCUCCUUUUAAUAAAAUUGUCAACACAUUAAGUUCUUAUACUUUCUUUAUCGCAAACAUCAAGUUAAAACAUCGAGUCAAAUAAAUUCCUCUACGUCUUUUAACCGUUACUUAAACUUGUUUAUUACCUAUGGCGCUAACAUUAAUGAGGUACAAGUAAAUAGGUUCUGUUUAAUUUGACUUUAGCAGGAAGGAAAAGAAGAAAAAGAGGAGAAAGAAAGGAACGUUGGAAAGGGGCUGCUAGUUGGUUCCGUGACUGUUCAUAGGCAGUAAAUCCCUCCGGAUGAUUAGAGGUCGGCGCCAUGGCUUGUUACGGCUCGAUAUGGAAUUCAAUGGAGGAGAAAAGUAACGAUGAAAACGAUUUACCGAUUUCUACCUUCGUUACUUCGUUCUCGAUUAUUUUUCGUAAUAGCAUUUGCCACGAUAUCUCGACCCCUCGUUCCCCCAUUAACACUCGCGAGAUUUCCUUCUCUUUUUUCUUCCCCCCCCUUCCCGGUUUCAAAUCAUCAAUGUUGAUGAAUAAAUAAACGAACGAAUAAUACGAUAAUAAGGAAAAUUAAGUUACGAUUACAAUUUUAAUGAAUGGAGUGGAAUAACUUUUCGUUUUAAUUUUUAAAAAUUACAUAAAAAUUAUUAUCGUAGAUGCAAUAUUGAAUUACAACAUUCAAUUAUUUGUUGUAUCUCGCGUACAUCCGAUUGAAUAAAGAUGAGGCCAGAUAUAUCAUGUUGGUGAAAUAUUGCAAAUCAUUUGAACGACAACAUCUCGUUCUCUCGUGCAUAUUUUUGUCGAGGCACAAAGGCAGCGAAGAAGAACCGAUUCGAUUAAAAUCUUCGCACGAAACUUUUCUAUUAUCCAUCCCGUGCCAAUCAAACUUCUUAAAAUUGGCAAAAAUUGUUAAACAAAACGUCGCGUUACACGACCGAUGAAUCACGAGUAUCCGCGUGAUUUGCAGGAAACGCGGUGUUGCUCGCGCCAAGUUUCUCGAACGAACGCGGAUUUCAUUAUUAGAAUUUAAUUUCAAUAAUAUAUAAAGCUUCCGACUCUGAUUAAUCAAAUCUAAUUAUUGAGCGAGAAAAGAAAAACAGAUUUACCUUUAUCGUAUAAAAUUCUACGAUUUGUCAUAGAGAUCGAUAAAAAUUUAUAAGUUAGUCCGUUCAGCCCAUACUUUCAGGAGGGGAUGGACGUGGCAGGCGUGUAUAAAUCGUUUGGAAAUUCUCGGCGGGUAACUAGGGGAAUUUUAAAUUUCCCGCGGUGAAUACGAAUGAAUAAAAUCACGUAGAGCAUUAAGCUUGAUUAAUUAUUACGCCUGUUACCAGUAAAAAAAUAUUAUAAAGAUGAUCACUCGCAAGUAGAACAUAAUCUCCCGAUUCUUUCGAACGAGUCGUCGAGGAAAAAAGGAAUAAUCGCGCGCAUAUUCAAAAGAUACGUAAUUUUAUAAAGGAUCGAGCCCUUCCUUUCCUCUAGAAAAGAGAAAUUGAAUUAAAUUUCAUUUAAUUAACCGCGGAAAUGGAAGAACAAGUGAUAAAAAAGGGAGAAAGAAAUGGUUUUCGUUUAAUGAAACGGGCGAACGGUUGCGCUAUUUCUCGAACGAUUAACGAAACGACAUAACGAGUGGACUGGAGAAACAGGAGACGGGUAGGAGAACGAUGGAAGAAUGUGUAACGAAUCGCGCAUUCCCCGACGAUAUGCAGAGGCGUGUGUGCAACGGCGGCGUCACGUGAAUUGAACACCGCGGACGUGGUGUGUACCCCACGGCUCGUUUUCUGCACGCGGUCACGUCCACGUCUGGAAACGAAAAUCGCGGAAGCGGCGAUGGUUCGCGCGCACACGGGCGCGUGAAGUUGCAUAAUAUUCCGCCGGGCCCGUUUAAAUUCUUGACGCGUCGUGCCCCACCGCGUUAAUCCGUCCCUCAUUUCCUCCGAGUUUUCGUUCGUUCCUCGAAUUCGAGACCAUCGAUCGAUUGCCAUCUCUCCAAUUCUCGAUAUAUAUAUAUAUAUAUAUUGAAUGUGAAUAGUUUGAUAUGAAAUUACAAAUCGAAAGAGCGAUGUAAUUAUCCGACGUUACAUAUUUUACCCGAUUUCGUAGGUGGGGAGCUGGAAGGAGAGCGAUUUUUAAAGAAAAUCCGGGAGCGGGGGGCGAUAUACGCGAGCGACUUCCGUUCCGAUGAAACGAUAGCCACACGGUGAAGAAAAACGAUUCACGACGUCUUAUCGUAGCUCGUUAAGCUUGGAAAGAUUAAAUUAUCGAAGCGGCGUCUGCAGUCGCCUCUGAAUAUAAUAAAUCGUCGAUCAGCGGUUGAUCGAGUGAAUGACCAGAACGAAACAGGGUGGCCCGACUUUCCAGCUCUAAUGAUUUGUCUGUCCAUAGCUUAUCUCAUUAACGAGUGUCCCGUUCGAAUGUCGCCGGCUGAAGGGGGAGGGGGGAUCGGUUUCAUUGGUUGAAAUCGAUGAGAGGGAAGAAUCAUCUUCCCUCCCUGCUCCCCCCCUCGUUUCGUUCCGUAUCGUUUUCUCCCUUUUUUCACGCCGAUAAUUUAAUCGUUUCGAUCCGUGAACACGAGACGACGACCACGACGACGCGUGAAAAGCGAAUGGAAUCUCUCGAUAAUAACUCGUUAUUGAGAUAUUAACCCGAUUUUUUUGGUUUAAUAAAUUUUAAAAAUCCCGGGAUACAUUGUACAUUUCUCUUUCGCGGAACAAUGCUCAACAGAUCCGGGAUUAUUUUUAGCCGAUUAUUUCAAGUUAAGAUAGAUAAAUAGAUGAACGAUAAUGUAAUUAGCGCGGAUACGGUGGUCAACCGUGGUUUCAGAGAAUCACCAUCAACCUCGAUUUAAAUUUUAGACUUCAAUUAAAAUUCAACGAGAGGUUUUUUUCCUUUCUUUCUUUCUCUUUCCUUUUUUUCCCCCCUUUACACAACCAUUAUAUAUACGCGCGAUCUUCAGAUUUGCUUGCAAGGGAUCCAAGCGUGAACACCUUAAUUGGUAUUGUACUGGAAUAACUUUCCAAUUACAUAUGUAUCAUGAAAAAUUCAUGCAACUGUAUUAAGGGCUUGUUAUCGCGAAAAUUUCUUACAAUAUCAAUUCUUUUAAUGGCCAGAUUAGACGGAUCCUCGUUAAAUGUAACUUUCGAUCGAUAACCAAGCAUCGACAAUUGAAAUUCUCGAGAGAAAAAGCAAGGAUCGCGAUUUUAUUUAACGCGAUAUUUAAGAAAAAAAAAGAAUAAAAAUAUCGCAAUUAACAAACGAGGGCUCGAUCGCGCAAAUUAAAAGGAGGGCAAACACUUCCGGUUACGAACCCCAAUUUCUCCUUUAUUUCUCAGGCAGAUUACACGUUUCCACCCAGCCGAUCGUUAUUAUUGCCUAUAUUGCUUUCCUCCUUGGCCAACGUUUUUGAAACCAAAUUUCUUCGUCCAUUUUCCAUUCGGUCGGAUUUCACUUUCGCGAAGACGGUCAUUAUCGAGCGUUAAAAAGAGGGAACAACAAUGAAAGUCUCGUUGGAACGAGUAAAAUGGAGGCGCUCAGGGGUAGCCAUAUGGCGUGAGUUUGAUUAAUUGUGUUGGAACUUCUUCGUUCGCAAUAUUAUAGACAGGAAUAUACACGUUCCUUUCGCAACGUGAGACGGUCCAAUGCCCAAUUAAAGGACGGAUAAUUUUAAUUGACGAAGUUAAGGGCGGUGAUUAAUCCUGUAAUCGCUCGUUCGGAUGAUGAUUAUUAUUGCUUGUUUAUUUGAAAAUGUAAUGAUUCUUGUGAAAGAGGAUACGUAGAUUUUUUUUAAUAACAAUUUUGGUUCGAAAAUUACUACAUGAGCGAUUAAAAUGCUCGAAUAUCGCAGUCGAUCCUCGACACUCUACUAUUUACUUGCCAUUAUAAUUGUAACUUCAACUGAGACGAACCAUCCAGGAUCAAUAAUUGCCAGAUUGAAUUUUAAUUCGAAUGAAAGGAUAAAAAAAGGAGAGAAUAGAGAGAGAGAGAGAGAGAGUCUCUCAUUCCAGAUUUCUUAUCUCGAGAGAACUCGUUCUAAGCCUGAUGGCCAAGGUUUCUUGUUCGUGGAAACUCGUUUUAAAUUCCACGGUUUUAAAGUUCCUUUACUCGAAGGAAUCUGUCGAAUAGUUUAAAAUCAAAUGUAUUCCACGCUCCCUUCAAUUCCACGGGCCCCUUCUUCCAAAGAACUUAUUUCAUAUUCAUUCCGAUUUUAUUUCGAGCAUGUCGAUCCUAAUUUUUCACCUCUUUCCGGCCCCCCUUCUUUUCGUGCCUUUAAGGCGUUUAAACUUUUAAAUAACUGGACGAGGGGGCCCGUUUACUUGGAAAACCGUCGGUAAUUCCCCAUUUUUUAAAUCGGUCGAAUCCAGUAGAAAAACUUCAACUUAAAAAAUUCCUCUUUCCUUUGUACACCUGAUUCCAGUUUCCUUAUUCGACGCUUCGAACAAGUUUUCCAUUUCCAGAUCCUUCAUUCUGAGAAACGAGCACGAGUCGAAAGCUCGUUUAAUAUCAUCGAUAUAUAUAUAUAUAUAAAUCUUUAAAUUUUUUAAAAAUAUUUCCAUAAAUCUAACGAAAUUAAAAAGUCACAUUAAUCUCAAUCCCUUUCACGUUUAAAUCCUUGCAACUCUCUAAUUCUCUCUCUCUCUAUUUAUAUAUAUCAAAGAGCAACAAGUAUAUCCGAAAUUACAUCUUCCCUCGAUUCUAUCAUCCGUCUUCUCCUCCGCAUUCUUUCCUCUCUCGCGUGGCAAACGUGCGAUCGAGGCAAGGAUCGUCCUUCGAGGAGGGGGGCCAGGUGUUGGCACCGUGCUCUCGAACGUUUCCUUUGCUUCAUUUGCGUCAUUCGUCGAAGAUUAUCAAAGAGGGGGGUCGAUUUCGUUAAGGGUGGCUGGCUGGGCGACUCCGCACCCUUGGCAAGCUCGUGCCAAACAGAUGUCUCAUUGUCAUGCUAAGGGAUCACCCUUAACGUGUAACGUGUCUUUAGGGACGUUAGACGUUCCUUCGUUCGAAAUUAUUUCUUUUUUUUUCUAGAAACAGGGGUCAAGGGGGAGGAUAACGUACGCGAGAGGAUCCCUUCUCUAUUGAUCCAAUCGUUCUCCAAAAAAUUUUUGCCGCUGCAGAGAUGUCUCUCGAGACGAGAAGGUAAUGGUUUUCUUCCUCUUAAGAAUCUUGUAGUUGUGAUUCAAAACUCGAAUCGAUUGUAGAAUUUAUCAUAGAGUUGGUUCGUCGAAUUAAUAAUUUCCAAGUAUUUUAAGAAGAGAAUAUGAAAUUUAUAUUCUCCAAUUUAAUGUACUUUAACUCCUGUGAUAUCUGAACUUGGUCGACAAUAUUAAAACCGGCGAUAGUCAUUCUUCUUUGGAAAUCUAAAUUCAAAUCAAAGGAUCGAAAGGAUUGAGGGAAGAAAAAAAAAGUGGCUCGAACUUAGACGGCGCAAUGGGCCUAAAAAAAAAAACAGAGAGAGAGGGAAUUGUGCAGCCGUUACGUGGACGGUUCCAUCUGCAAAUUUUUGGCCGUGAAUACGGGGCAAAUUCACGUUGGCAAUGGUUUUCGGCUUUUGAUUUCACUCCCCCUCUUCCUCGUGUCCUGCAGUCGCCUGCAGGUCUUCGAACUUGAAAAACACUUUCUUGCCUCCUCGACUAAAGAUCUCGAAUAAAAAUCCUGCCAGCUGCCUUCUCGGCUACCCUCUUUGUAUUUCACGGCACGGGCUAGACUUUUGUCGUUACCUUUCCCUUUUGUCGUGAGCGAAGCCCGCUGACUUUCGAUCGAUAAAGGAUGUACAGGGUGGGCCGAUACAGGAAGUAGAGGCGAACUUAUCAAUUUCGAUCGAGGGUCGUCGCCUCGGGAAAAUGGUUGGGAAGAUAAGCCCUUAUCUAUUUUUUCUGCCUAAAUUAGGAAUUUUUAGGAGGGAAUCGUAAUUUGGUAUAAUGCGAAGUCGGGUGUUGAGAGUUGGCCGAUGAUAUUAGGGGGAGGAAUAAUAUUUUAAAGAGCUCGUCGAAAGAGAACGACGGGAAAAUAUAUUUAAAAUUCUAGAAAGUUGAAAGUUGUGGUCCAGUUUCUUAAUAUCCUUUUUCGUUUCUAAAUUCGUCAUUGUUUCUGAGUAAUAUACAUCUAAUAUUUGACGCAACGUGUCGAUGGCAGAGGAACGUUAGUAGACAACGUUAAAUCUGUUUCAAAGGAUUCGUUUCAAUUUUAAGGGGGGGGGAAAAAAAAGAAUCGAUGGCUUUUUGUGAAAGUGUGAAGAUCGUGCGAGAGAGUUGUAGGUACCACUUAACUUUUAAAACGUGCACCAUCCUACAUUUCCCAUUUAGUGCUUGUUUUUACGCAAAUUGAAGCGCGAUAUUCGAGACACCUGCUAUUACGUGUUCCACAUUUUUCCGUGAAAAGAUUAAUUUAUUAUAAGGUUUCCUUGCAACACCAGAGGUAAAGGGUAUGAUUUUAAGCGAGCAUUUGUUCCUGUUUUCUUCUUCUUUUUUUUUCUUACUUUAAUAAAAUUACCUUAAUAGUUUAUAUUCUUAUUAUAAUUUAACGAGCCCCCCCCCCAAAAAAGGAGGAAUAUAUUAAAAAGUGAAAGUUCACGAUACAUUUUAUCGUAACGUAUCUUUUCAUUCGUUCAGCUUUCGCUUACGAGAGUAAACAAAGUCAUAAGUCACUCGUGCAAGCUUUCAACAAUCUGGAUUAUAAUAAUAAUCUCCUUUAACGAACUCUUGCUUAAACUUAAUCUUCCACUUUAAAACAAGUUCCUUCCCUUAAGCCCAGAGAGCCAGCCAUGCAUAUAAUUGAUCGUUAGUUUCCAUUAAAUUUCGUUAAGGAUGGCUCGUUCGAAAAAUUAUAAUUAGAAAAUUAUGACUCUAUUCAAACCCCCUUCGAUUUAAUUAAAGUCACAGCGAAUCUCGUUACUUUAAUCCUCCCUUAAAGUAGAAUCAAUAUAACGCUCGUUAAUUUAUUCACAACUUGAAUAUCUCUUACGUUUUUCUUAUUAUCAAUCACCUCCUCCUCCUCCUCCUCUCCUAUUUCCUGAAAAGAAUCGAAACGACACACCCUUAAAGACCCGAAUCGCCAUCCAUUGUUCGAAAUAAAAUAUAUAUAUAUACAUAUAUCUCCGCGUAUUUAACCGUACUUAUUCGCGAAAGGAGGCCAGGUGCCCGUCACCACCUCCGUGGAACCGAUAUUCCAACGUAUCGAGGUCGUCAGACUCUACUCCCUCCCCCUCUGGAAGACUCUACCAGCCCCCUUCCAGAAACGGUUCACGGGGAUACCCUGCCGUUUUCCUUUUUACCUUCCUUCACUCAUCGAAUGGUAUUACGUUAGACGAUAGACUGGUGGCCGAUCGCCAGGUGUCCACGUAACCCCGUGCUACCCCCUGAAACAGUGCAGGUGUGCCGGCACGCGCGUUCUCCAUCUCCCUCCCUCUCUCUUUUCUCGAUUGCGCGCACGAAGGAGGAGAGCGUGGCCUUUCGAAGUUUCUUAAACGGUGCAACGCACUUACGUCACUUGGGUUCGAUUGCUCGAUGCACGAGCGAUGGAUGGAUCGAGUGGUUUCCCCCCAAGUGUCUCUCAUCUCGGAAGCGUAGAAGUGGUUCGUUCGAGGAUAUGAAGGGUUUUCGAACGCGAGGAGGUAUAUAUAUAUAUCGUGAACGUUGAGAAAUUGACGAGGUUUUGGUGGUUGGAAUAAUAAUUGGAAUUUUGAAUCUAGGAAUUGAAGUCGAUGCGAGGAAUCGACGAUGUUCUACGUUUCUUGUGUUUUGUAGUUGGUUGGUUUUAAAAUCGAUUCGACAAAGGUAGGACAAAGGUCUCGAUCUUUAUAUCUCAGAGACUUUGAGUGAUAAAUCGAAGUAACUUGAUUCUUAAUCAAAAUUCGUAUUCGUUGAUGAAAAGAUAGGUCUAACCUAACCUCAAAUUUUACAUUCACGAACGAAAAGACGGAAGGAAGCUUGAAUCUAAAUCGAUAAACGAAUAGAAAAAUGACAAUUAUCCAAAAUUCCAUCGACAAACAAUAAUAUAACAAAAUCGAUGGAAAAUUGAAUAAUAAUUUUAGAAAAGGCACAAGUGUUGUCCUCGUAUGAAACGAGGAAUAACGAUUCUUGUCGAGAUGACAGCCUUCCACCAAGCACCACCCCAUCUUGAACACCCGUCUUGAACAUAAGGUGGUCUUUGUAUAUAUUGUUCUACUGAUACGAGGCGCAUAUGCUUUUGUGCCAUUAACGUAUACAAAAGGCACGUGCCAAAUGUUUUUUAAUCGGCGCCAUUUGUUUUCCGAACAUUGUCUCUCCGUACUAACAUCGUUCGUACAUUUCCAUGGGAUUUGUUCGAUAAACAAUACUUUCUUAAACUUGUUUAUUAAAUCAUUGAUUAGAACGAUACGUUUCUUCGAAUACUUGAAUUUAUUCGUAACUAUUAUUACAGUUGAUCUUUAUAUCUCAGAGACUUUGAAUGAUAAGUCGAAGUAACUUGAUUCUUAAUUCGUAUUCGUUGAUGAAAAGAUACGUCUAACCUAACCCCAAAUUUUAUAUUCACGAACGAAAAGAUAGAAAGAAGCAUGAAUCUGAAUCAAUAAACGAAUAAAGGAACGACAAUUAUCCAAAAUUCCAUCGACAAAUAAUAUAACAAAAUCGAUGGAAAAGAUACACAUAACCUCAAAUUUAUAAUCACGAAAAGACGAAAGGAAGCUUGAAUCUGAAUAGAAAAACGACAAUUAUCUAAAAUUCCAUCGACAAAUAAUAAUAUAACAAAAUCGAUGGAAAAGAUACACAUAACCUCAAAUUUAUAAUCACGAAAAGACGAAAGGAAGCUUGAAUCUGAAUAGAAAAACGACAAUUAUCCAAAACGACAAACAAUAUAACCUAACCUCAAAUUUAUAAUCACGAACGAAAAGAAACUCGAAAAGUAAAAUGAUAAAUGAAUAGGAUGAAUAAACAAUUGUCCAAAAUUCUGUGGACGGUAACAAUAACAAAAUCGAUGGAAAAGUAACAGCUCACGCUUCGAUGCCUUUAAUCGCAUCGCAACUCCAACGCAUGCGAGCAACAAGAGAAGGGAUGAGGAAGAAAAAUCAUGGGGGAUGGUUCCCGACGCCUGCAAUUUUGCCGUGACAAUGGGUAACGAGUGGCUGGUUCAACAAUUCGGCUUUUCUUCCGUGGAACAACCGUCUUGAACAUAAGGCGACGCGGUCACUCGUUUCCUAGGGCUCCUAUUGAGUGUGCCGCCGCAAUGAAGUCGGUGGCAUAAGGCGCACGUGCUGCACGCGUGCCAACCCUCAUCCAGAUGACUUCUAAUUGAAUUAUCGUAAUCACCGGACGAAAAAUUUCCUCCGACCGACUUUUGUCUUGCGCCAACGAAUUCCUUUCGAGACGGUUAUUAACCGUCACGGUGGUGGAGCACCGAAUUUUUAUCGCACCCCUUAAUAACGUCCCUUUCGGGAGUCAUUUUCGCCUGUUUCGAUCCUUUUUAAUCGGAGAGUGACGAGGGGAGGGGGAUUGGAUAGGAAGCGUGCUUUAAUUUCGGAAUAUUCGGAGGGGUGGAAGGGGAUUUUUACGAAGAGGGAAAUAUUUCAAGGGUGGUUGAAUUGAAGUUGGAUGCGAAGAAGGUGGAGGAUUUUAAAAAUUUUUUAUCAACGUAUUAAUAUUGGUGAAAGUGAAUUGAAUUGCGAAAGGAAGAUAUUUUUCGAUAUAAUUUUAUAAAAUUCUUGUCAAGCCUUUAAAAAGAAUAAGAAAGAAAGAUCGUUACGCAAGGAUGUAGCUGGAAUCGAAUUUGACUUUAAUUAUAAAAGUAGAAUAUAUUAGAUAAAAGUUAGAUAAUUUGGAGUUGAUUUAUAAUAUAUUUACAAAAUUUCAUUCAUUCUUCGGAAUUAUCUUUGACUUUUUUUUCUUCUUCUUCUUCUUUCUUAAUUGCUACCAUUUUUCAGAGAAAGAGGAGAGAGAGAAAGAGAGAGAAACGUUAUCCACGAGAUUAGAGGAGUUGAUAACGUUAUGCAUGAAGUUUACUAACUGACGAUGUACAGUUGUAGAUUACGUUUUAUCUAGAUCAGCUAACAACUGAUGUUAGUACGAUGUUUGACUAUAAUCUACUACUUAAGCCACGUAGAUCACGAAAUGUCUGGAAAUAAAGUAAAUAAUACGAAAUAUUCCUGUUUCUUCGAAAACAGAAACAAAGAAAGCAGACAAGAAGAGAAUAAAUAUGUUCAUUAAGCCAUGUUUAUAUUAAGCAAUUUUUUUAAUCUUGUGUUAAUAAGAAGUGAUGGAGGAGGACG